rnacentral:rRNA from 1 species
AACGAACGCUGGCGGCAUGCCUAACACAUGCAAGUCGAACGAGACCUUCGGGUCUAGUGGCGCACGGGUGCGUAACGCGUGGGAACCUGCCCUUAGGUUCGGAAUAACUCCCCGAAAGGUGUGCUAAUACCGGAUAAUGUCUUCGGACCAAAGAUUUAUCGCCUUUGGAUGGGCCCGCGUUGGAUUAGCUAGUUGGUAGGGUAAAAGCCUACCAAGGCGACGAUCCAUAGCUGGUCUGAGAGGAUGAUCAGCCACACUGGAACUGAGACACGGACCAGACUCCUACGGGAGGCAGCAGUGGGGAAUAUUAGACAAUGGGCGAUAGCCUGAUCCAGCAAUGCCGCGUGAGUGAUGAAGGCCUUAGGGUUGUAAAGCUCUUUUACCCGGGAUGAUAAUGACAGUACCGGGAGAAUAAGCGCCGGCUAACUCCGUG